GUGACGUCACCGAUUGAAACGCUAUUCGCGCGCACCACUGCGAACUAGCUAGCCAUUUCACAUCGGUUACAGAAGCACCUGGUGUUUGUCUGCAUUGCGGCUAGCAGAGUGGAGAGCUGUAUCGCAAUGGUGACCACUACUCACCUUGUUGCCCUGCUGCACUGGAUCCUUACAGCCAAUUUGUCACUUGAAGAGCCAAGCACAGCAGAUCUUCCAGUCUGGAUGACCAGACGACGGGUCCGGAACAGCAAUCCCAAUCUAGACAUCCGCUGCCGAGCCAUGGAGCGGACUUCAUCAUUUGCAGACACCCUACCCCCGGGUCGACCACCAGAGGGGGGACUGCAACAGUGAUCACCAACUGGAUAUCUGCUGCCCAGCCAUGGAAUGGACUUCAUUCGCAGAAACCCUACCCGGGUCGAUCACCAGAUGGGGACCACAACAAUGGUCCACAACAAGGACAACCCAAGGAUGGAGUUCCUCUGGCUGAUCCUGACACUCUGCGCCCUGGUCAAAACCAACCCAGCAGAUGUAAUCACGAGCGGACCCCCUAAGGGAAUCGUUCUCCGCUAUGAUCCAGGACUCCUUAUACUGUAACUAACUGCAUAGUACGCAUGCCGAGGGUGUACGUCCGCCUAGAUUCAGAGAACGUGUACCUCCAACACAUUCCACCUGUGGCGCACUAUUUGCCCUUGGUACCACUACUGUCAAUGCAGUCAACCACAGUCAAGAUAAAUGUUAGGAAGAUUACUGAAGAGAUGUCACUUAUCCAGCAACAGCUGAAACCACAGGCACUCAGGUUGCAACAUGUGGGAAAGUCUCUUCAGGACACUAUUCUGGUGGUAAACACACGCUACUCUCCUGUAGGAAAGCUAGUAGAGGUAUUUUGUGUAACACGUGUCAUAUUGUGUUGGCCCGCUAGGGACCUGUUUCAUUGUACUAAGUUCUAAUCAGUGGCCUAAACUGUGUGUUUGUGUAUCUUAUGUUAUCAUUUAGCUUGUUAGUAAAUAAAUAAUCAACUGGUGUGGUACGGAAUAAUUUAGUGAGACUUGGGUUUGUGCAGAUUCCCAAAUUAUGCGACGUUCAGGAUGAGACUGUAGAGGAAAUUAAUUAAUUAGCAACUGCUGUAAAAUCGAUAUUCUGAUAUUGAGUUCAUUUGGGAAACGGAAAUUCAAUAAAAAACAACU